AGCCGCCUGGCGAAAUGGAAUCGCGUCCGGCUCUUACCAGAAGAUUGCAGGUUCGACCCCUGCGGUGGUCU
rnacentral:tRNA from 1 species